UAGGGAAUCUUCCACAAUGGGCGAAAGCCUGAUGGAGCAACGCCGCGUGAGUGAUGAAGGCCUUUGGGUUGUAAAACUCUGUCUUCUGUGACGAACAAGCCUGUGAGUAAAAUGCUCAGGCCCUGACGGUAACAGAGGAGGAAGCCACGGCUAACUACGUGCCAGCAGCCGCGGUAAUACGUAGGUGGCAAGCGUUGUCCGGAAUCACUGGGCGUAAAGCGCGCGCAGGCGGCGAUCUACGUCUGGGGUGAAAGCCCGGAGCUCAACUCCGGGACUGCCUUGGAUACGGGAUCGCUUGAGAAUUGGAGAGGCAAGGGGAAUUCCACGUGUAGCGGUGAAAUGCGUAGAUAUGUGGAGGAACACCUGUGGCGAAGGCGCCUUGCUGGCCAAUUCUGACGCUGAGGCGCGAAAGCGUGGGGAGCGAAACAGGAUUAGAUACCCUGGUAGUCCACGCCGUAAACGAUGAGUGCUAGGUGUU
rnacentral:rRNA from 1 species